UCCUGAAGUCAUGGGAGCUGUGCUGUUUUCUGACUUUGUAAAUAUGUCCACGGGUGUUAGACGGGUGGAGUUUGAAAAGGUGCUCAGAGUUAUUGUUGAGCUAACUUAGCUCUUUAACUUUUAAUAAAAGUAAUUUCUUCCUGAUUUUGAAUUUGUUUGCUAUGUUGAAAGCAAUAUUGUUAUAUUUAGAAAAGUCACAAUUAAUAAAACCUAUAAACACA